AUCACGUGUAUCCAUCAAUCGUUCAGUUGGUUCGCACAAAUCAUUGAUAAACUUGAGAAUGGUAUUUCGAUCUUGGAUUCUCAAUCUAUAAAUUUUCUGAUCUUCGUCGAGAUUUUCAAGUUUUACUUCUUCUGCAAAAAAUAUUGCUGGAUAUAAUGAGUAACGAACGUUCCGUGCUGGACAAACAUCCUUGAAAACGUGGAGAAAAUCAAGCCAACGCCUGUGUGAAGUUGUUGCAGUAUCGUCAGCUUUGGGACGAACUGGAGGAAAUAUAACGAGAAUUCAAGAUCGUAUCGAAGAGUUCGUUGACGUGGUUUCGUUCGGGAACUGGUAUUUUUCUUUCGAUUAAUCUUAUUGGAAAAAACGCCUGAUUCAUUGAAAGGAUUAAUAUUUCCGUCUUGAUCAUCGUCGUCGUCGCUACUAUCACUGUCGGGUUGCUGACUGCGAUUAGUUCGAUUAUUCGAACCACCGGGACCGGAACGUCGAUCAUUAUUACGUGUUUCAUCGGAGAUAUUGUCUCCGCGUGACGUCGACUCGGGAAUUUUCGUCCUGUAUUUACCAUGAGCGUUGUAAUAGAACAAAUCAUCAACUGAAUCAGUAAGUUCAUUGGU